UCCACCAACCGUCCCUAUCCUAAGUGGCAAAGGGUUUGAUGGUUGGUACCUGAGGUCCUAAGUUCGAAUUCUUGUUGAUUCACAUUUCCAGCUAAGUUUAUUUCUAAAUAAAAUAAACGAAACGAGUAGCGUGCUACCUAUCUCUCGAAAAAAAAAAUUCCAUUUUUCCUAACUUUAUGAAAAGGUUACUAAUAUAUUUU
rnacentral:lncRNA from 1 species